GACAGAGGGUGCAAACGUUGUUCGGAAUUACUGGGCGUAAAGCGUGUGUAGGCGGCUUCGCAAGUCGGAUGUGAAAGCCCUGGGCUCAACCCAGGAAGUGCAUUCGAAACUGCGGAGCUGGAGUCCUGGAGAGGAAGGCGGAAUUCUCGGUGUAGAGGUGAAAUUCGUAGAUAUCGAGAGGAACACCGGUGGCGGAAGGCGGCCUUCUGGACAGUGACUGAGCGACUGAGA
rnacentral:rRNA from 1 species